CCGUACACCUAUCAGUGAGAACAGAGAGGGACUGUGAUGCUAUGUGUCUUUGCUACCACCUGCUUGGAGUAGCUCAGUGUAUCAGCCUUUAAAAUGAUCCAAAAUUCAUUUGGUUUUGCUCAAAAUGUGCAUAAACCGAUGAACAUGUUACACAGGGGAAAAUAUGUUUCUUUUGUAUUUAUUUUCAGUUGUUUGUUGUGUUUUGCAUGCUUGGAUUGUUUUGGUUUUUCUGCUUUCCCCUUUAACAACCCAAACACAAUGGGCUGAGGCUGGUUGACUGAGGAGGCGGAGCUCACUAAUUGCACAGCUGCACCCAGGUGUCAGCAGAGGCUUAUAAAAGGAGCUUGAAGAGAAGGGCAGGAGAAGCUGACCCUGCAGGAGAACGACACACUGCCGAGCAAAGGAGCAGGUGGGAUCUGCAUGCCAGAACAGACGGCCUAGUACAGAGGAUCAGGGCAGAGGGAGCCUCUGCCCGCGCCUCUGGGGAUCGAAGAAGGUGUGCUGCAGGCGGGCGGCCUCCACCAGAAGCAUCAUUUCUAAGCGGAGCUCAACCCCUGGUCCUAAUUGGUGACUUUUAAGACAAUUGGUGAAUUGCUGUUUUUAAAGGAAGAAGAAAAGGACUCUUUUAUGGUGCCACUAUUGCUGUGACUGUCCUUCUGUGGAAUAAAUCAUCUUGAACUGGACUGUU